CCUAACUAAGUUUUUAAUAUAUUUGGGACAUGAAGCAUGAAGUGACGUGAUCACAAUACAAUAGUAUAAAAUUCAUGUGACGUUAUAAAAUAUUGAGUUGAAAAUUGUUGAAGUCGAUUGAAAAUUGGGUGCCAAUCGGGUAAGGAAUCGAAUGAAUGGUUAAGGAAUUAACUCAAUAAAGUAUUUUGGGAUUCUAUGGAAAUUAAAUGAGGUUGCAAACACACUAAGAUAGGUCAGAUACACUUGAUUUUCUACUACAAUGAUGGGUGUAAAAUCAGAUUUUUUCUACAAAACCGCCUCAUGCUUGAUGUUACUUGUCCUUUUAUAGCCAAUUUCUUCAUUCCUAAGCCUUAUGCACGACUCAAGCUCCUCAAGUACUUUAUAUAUAUCUCCUAUAUAAGAUAUUAACUCCUUCAACUCAUUCCCAAUUAAUUCCAAGUGAAAAAGAAAGGAAAAGAACCAAAGAGAAAUAGAAAACAGAAAGCUGGAAUUGGAAGUCUGAGAAGCUGAGUUAGUCCACUGUUUUGAGGUUAAUCUUUAUCGUUUUUAAGGGUUUUACAACCGUUUGAACCUCUGGACCUGAUUGAGAUCAUUUUUUGGGAUUUUGAUGAUUUAAUGAAGACAAAACAGGGAUAAUUGGUUGCAAGAUCUUGAGUUAACUCAAUAUGGACAGAAUUAAUAGUUGUUGGAUUUUUGUAAUAUAAACUUGAAUCUUAUUUUAUACUUUGAAGGGAACGUAUAUGUAUCAGUUUGAAUGAUUUCAAAUAAGGUUUAUGCGUAUGAAAUAAGUUUUAAUAGGAUAGAAAUUGAUUUGUGACAUGAUAAGUAAAAGAAACCAAAGACAGUCACCAAAAGCUACCUGAUUCAAUGGCAUAACUUGAUGCUGAAAAUCCUAUACUUAUGGUGAAUUCAUGACAUGGUUAUAUUCAUAUGAAUGUUAUAUAUGUGUUUUAAAAGAUUGGGAAUGAAUGGAUGUAGUUCAGGGUGUGAAAAGAUAGACGAAAUGGGACAUGGCAGCAACUAAAACUCAAAAACAGAUUCUGACCAAUUUGCAUUUUGCAUAACUUCAACCUUUAUAUGUGCACUAAUCAUCUCUAAGGCUCAGAAAAGUAAUUUUAUUAAGUGUUAGAUUGUUGAAGACAAUCAGAU
rnacentral:lncRNA from 1 species